CAGGCAUAGGCUGGCUUGCUUCCAGGAGCCGGCCUGAGCCUCACCCCACCUCCCAAACAAGGGGCUGGUCUGUGCUGGGGUGGUGGGAUGCCCCUGUUUCCCCAGGCAGGAGCUUGGCUGAAGACCCAGCCGGUGCCAGGGCUGUGGAGGUCUGGGAUCGGCCUCCUACUCAGGCCCAGGCUGAGAACCCAGAGUAGGGCCUCCUCCCCGGGACAGGGCCAUCUGGGUCAUGCUGUCCAUCCCUCAGCCUCUGUCCUGUCGACCACCCGUACUUGGCACCGACAGUGUGCCUGGCAGAGGGACCCACACAGGAGAGAGCAGUUGAGCAAGCGUACAGAAAUGCAAUUGAUGUUUAUAGCAGCAACGUCCGCAACAGUCUACCUGUGGAAGAGCCCCAGUGUCCCCAGACAGACCAGUGGAUAAAGAGGAUGUGGUCUGUAUAUGCACCAUGGACUGUUCUGCAGACAUCAGAACAUGAAGUCUUGCCAUUUACAGCGACGUGGAUGGAACUGCAGGGUUAUGCGGAGCCAAAUAACUCGGUCAGAGAAAGACCAUGAUCAUAUGACAUCACUUGUGUGUGGAAUUUCAGAAAUGAAACAAAGUUGCACAGGGGAAGGAAGGGAAAAUAAAACAAGGCGAGAUCAGAGAGGAGAGGAGCCACAAGACUCUUACCUCUAAGAAACAAACUGAGGGAUGUUGGAGGGGAAUAGGAUGGGGGGGGUGGGGUAACUGGGUAAUUAAGGACACCUGGUGGAAUGAGCACUGGGUGGUAUAUGCAACUGACAAACCAUCACCUCUACCUCUGAAACUAACGAUUCGCUAUAUGUUAAUUAACUGAAUUUAUUUUACUUUUUUUUUUUAAAGAUUUUAUUUAGUUAUUUGACAGACAGAGAUCACAAGUAGGCAGAGAGGCAGGCAGAGAGAAGGGGAAGCAGGCUCCCCGCCGAGCAGAGAGGCCAAUGCGGGGCUCGAUCCCAGGACCCUGGGAUCAUGACCUGAGCCGAAGGCAGAGGCUUUAACCCACUGAGCCACCCAGGCGCCCCCAUUUUACUUUUUAAACAUAUUUUAUUUAUUUGAGACAGACAACAUGAGAGAGAGAGCACCAGUGGUGGGGAGGGCCAGAGGUAGAGGGAGAAACAGACUUCUUGCUGAGCAGAGAGCCAGAGGCAGGGCUCCAUCCCAGGACCCGGGGAUCGUAACCUGAGCCAAAGGCAGAGGCUUCAUGGACUGAGCCCCCCAGUCGCCCUUAAUUAAUUGGAUUGAAUUCAAAUAAAAUAAAAUGUUAAAAACAAACCCCCAAAUAAUUGUAUCCUCAAAAAAACCUGAAAUUUCAAAAACAACUAGAAAGAUAAAUAAAUUCGACCUAGACAAA